rnacentral:rRNA from 1 species
UACGAAGGGUGCAAGCGUUAAUCGGAAUUACUGGGCGUAAAGCGCGCGUAGGUGGUUCAGUAAGUUGGAAGUGAAAUCCCCGGGCUCAACCUGGGAACUGCUUUCAAAACUGCUGAGCUAGAGUACGGUAGAGGGUGGUGGAAUUUCCUGUGUAGCGGUGAAAUGCGUAGAUAUAGGAAGGAACACCAGUGGCGAAGGCGACCACCUGGACUGAUACUGACACUUAGGUGCGAAAGCGUGGGGAGCAAACAGG